AUAAGGCUAAUAAGAAAGCCCUCCUUCUCUUCGAAACCAAAGAGCUUCCUCCCUCCACCGUACCGAACCCUAACCCACGCCUCAGAAUCAAAGAAGUCAUCGCACUGCAGCUCUCCAUGAAGCCGUAAAUGGCACCAUCAUCGUAAGUCACCAGGAAGCCCCAAAUCGUCACUCACCAUCGUCGCACCAUCAUCGUCACUCCAUUCUUCCCGAUAUCGUCGCUGCCUCCUUCUUCCUGGCAUCGCUGAGUCUCUCCGCGGCGUCGCUGCUUCUCCCCGCUCCGAGGCUUCACUGCUUCUCCACGGCGUCCUUGCUUCUCCCUGUUCUGUUUCUACGUCGCUAUUUCUGCUUCACUUUCUUCGCUGGUUGUGGAUUGUGCUUCGCUACUGCUUCGCUGUUGCUGCUGCUUCGCUGCAUUGGCCGUGAUUUGUCAUCUGUGUUUGUCUCUUUAAAAUAAAAAAAGGGUUGUCAUCUGUGGGUUGUCUCUUUGCUGCUGCUGCUUCACUGCAUCGGCCGUUUGUGGGUUGUCAUCUGUGUUUGUCUCUUUAAAAUCAGAAAAAGAGAAUCAAAUAGCGGAUCUCUCUGUAGCUGCGACUAUCUUAGACACUGAGCUACACUACAGGUAAAUCAUUUAAUAUAUUAUCUUUUUAAAUUUGUUUGAACAUUUAAUUGUUAAGAAUAUUUACUGAUUAAUUGAUUGAUUAAGCUUCUUUGCAUAGUUUGUUAGAUACAAAUUGUUAGUCUCAUGAUUGGUUGAGAUGUUCUCUUUUGAAUAUGUGUGGUUGACUUCUAGAAAUUCUUUAGAUGCAAUAAG